rnacentral:rRNA from 1 species
AAUCCGGUUGAUCCUGCCGGACCUGACUGCUAUCGGAUUGAUACUAAGCCAUGCGAGUCAUUGUAGCAAUACAAGGCAGACGGCUCAGUAACGCGUAGUCAACCUACCCUAUGGACGGGAAUAACCUCGGGAAACUGAGAAUAAUGCCCGAUAGAACAUUAUGCCUGGAAUGGUUUAUGUUUCAAAUGAUUUAUCGCCGUAGGAUGGGACUGCGGCCUAUCAGUUUGUUGGUGAGGUAAUGGCCCACCAAGACUAUUACAGGUACGGGCUCUGAGAGGAGUAGCCCGGAGAUGGGUACUGAGACACGGA